rnacentral:rRNA from 1 species
CAGCAGCCGCGGGAAUACGAAGGUCCCGAGCGUUGUUCGGAAUCACUGGGCGUAAAGGGAGCGUAGGCGGCGUGGUAAGUCAGAUGUGAAAUCCCGGGGCUCAACCCCGGAACUGCAUCCGAUACUGCCGUGCUAGAGGAUUGGAGAGGUAGCUGGAAUUCUUGGUGUAGCAGUGAAAUGCGUGGAGAUCAAGAGGAACACUCGUGGCGAAAGCGAGCUACUGGACAAUAUCUGACGCUGAGGCUCGAAGGCCAGGGUAGCGAAAGGGAUUAGAUACCCCCGUAGUCCCUGUCUCUUAUAC